AAGAUCUCCACAUCAUAACCAGGU
rnacentral:siRNA from 1 species